rnacentral:rRNA from 1 species
CAGCAGCCGCGGUAAUACGUAGGGGGCAAGCGUUAUCCGGAAUCACUGGGUGUAAAGGGUGCGUAGGCGGCAAUAUAAGUCAGAUGUGAAAUUCCGGGGCUCAACUCCGGGGGUGCAUUUGAAACUGUAUGGCUAGAGUACAGGAGAGGAAAGCGGAAUUCCUAGUGUAGCGGUGAAAUGCGUAGAUAUUAGGAGGAACACCAGUGGCGAAGGCGGCUUUCUGGACUGUAACUGACGCUGAGGCACGAAAGCGUGGGUAGCGAACAGGAUUAGAUACCCUGGUAGUCCACGCCAUAAACGAUGAGUGCUAGGUGUCGGGGGUCAAACCUCGGUGCCGCAGUCAACACAUUAAGCACUCCACCUGGGGAGUACGUUCGCAAGAAUGAAACUCAAAGGAAUUGACGGGGGCCCGCACAAGCGGUGGAGCAUGUGGUUUAAUUCGAAGCAACGCGAAGAACCUUACCAAAGCUUGACAUCCUGUUGUCCGACCGGUAAAACGGUCCUUCUACUUCGGUAGACAACAGAGACAGGUGGUGCAUGGCC